rnacentral:lncRNA from 1 species
GUUAGUGAUCUUCUAAGCGGCGGUGGAGUUGGUGGUCUUCUAGGGCGCCGAAAGAGAUCUCCAGUAGACACUCCUGCCGUACACGUUCCCGUUGAACCACAUGACCCAAGCAUUCCAGAACAAAUAUCAACCCUUGUGCAUGAAGUAGAAACAGUGAUUGGUGAGAUCAUGACCACGGUGCCAGAAGAGGUGAGUACUGUUGACAAUUUUGCAAGAAACAUUGUUUUCUUUCUACUAAACAUAGAAUAAAGACUGAAUUUGAUUGAGAUAUGGUA